rnacentral:rRNA from 1 species
CUAUGCGCCUUGCCAGCCCGCUCAGAAACUUAAAGGAAUUGACGGGGGCCCGCACAAGCGGUGGAGCAUGUGGUUUAAUUCGAUGAUACGCGAGGAACCUUACCUGGGCUCAAAUGUAUGUUGACGUAUUCUGAAAGGGAUACUUCUUCGGACAAUAUACAAGGUGCUGCAUGGUUGUCGUCAGCUCGUGCCGUGAGGUGUCGGGUUAAGUCCCAUAACGAGCGCAACCCCUAUCAUUAGUUGCCAUCAGGUCAAGCUGGGGACUCUAAUGAAACUGCCUACGCAAGUAGUGAGGAAAGUGGGGAUGACGUCAAAUCAGCACGGCCCUUACGUCCAGGGCUACACACGUGUUACAAUGGCCAGUACAGAGGGCAGCCACCCCGCGAGGGGGCGCUAAUCCUAAAAGCUGGUCCCAGUUCGGAUCGGAGUCUGCAACCCGACUCCGUGAAGCUGGAUUCGCUAGUAAUCGCGCAUCAGCCACGGCGCGGUGAAUACGUUCCCGGGCCUU